ensembl:lncRNA
CUUUACACUGUUAAGGUAGCGUCAGUGCUUCGUUAUCCAAUCCGUUCCAGUUGUUCACAGGGGACAGCCACAUUACUGAAAAUCCAGUCCUCGUUUUCACUGCUACUUUACACUCCGCUCGUCUACACCCGCGGACACACUAGAGUACAUGCUGCAAACUGCAAGAAAUCAUGGAUAUACGCAAGAAAGAGUCAGGGCAGAGGAGCACAGAGAGGGAGAGGGGAGAGACCUCUACUGGAGAGGGUGAGGCAGAAGGAGAGGCUGAGGGAGAAAAAGGUCAACAGGCAAGUUCAAGUCAGAAAGAGCAAGGAGAGACAGAGGAGCUGCAGCAAAUGGAUCAAGAGGCAGAGGAAGAUCAAGUUAUUACAGAGAGAGGAGAGCAAACAGGCCAAGAGAGGGAAAAUGAUGAAGCAGCUGCAGCAACUCAUUCUACACAGGGUUUGAUUUAGGUGACAAAGACACAGGGCCCAGACAGGUGAAGCUGAGGAGCUAUCCACAUGAUACUUUUGGUACACAGAAGCGAGCAUUUAACCACAGCUGGUUUGAAAAGCACAACUGGUUAGAAUAUUCAGUCAACCAGAAUGCAGCUUUCUGCUUCCCAUGUAGAGUGUUUGGCAAAAACAUCAAACAUGAUAGUUUGGUCAGUGAUGAAGGUGAAGACAGCCCAAACGGAGCUUUUACGUGCAUGGAGCUUUUAAAGGAGUUUGAUCCUUUUCUUCAAAAACAUAACCCCCCAUCAAAUACACAGUAUUUCUUGCCAACAUCCC